rnacentral:tRNA from 1 species
AAAGAUUUAGUUUAAUUAAAACAUUAGCUUGUCAAGCUGAAGUUACUAAUAUUUAGUAAUUUUUA